rnacentral:sRNA from 1 species
AAUACACCCUUUUGGGGCUGGACGAGAAGCUGCGACCCGCUGUUCGACUAAUUUGUAUGGAACAAAUUAGAACAUGCGCAGCAUGGCCCGCAGGGCGCAAGACAGGAUGUCUGGAGUCAUCCUGCCCCCUCCACCA